rnacentral:rRNA from 1 species
UACGGAGGGUGCAAGCGUUAAUCGGAAUUACUGGGCGUAAAGCGCGCGUAGGCGGCUUUGUAAGUUAGAGGUGAAAGCCCGGAGCUCAACUCCGGAACUGCCUUUAAGACUGCAUCGCUAGAAUUGUGGAGAGGUGAGUGGAAUUCCGAGUGUAGAGGUGAAAUUCGUAGAUAUUCGGAAGAACACCAGUGGCGAAGGCGACUCACUGGACACAUAUUGACGCUGAGGUGCGAAAGCGUGGGGAGCGAUCCGG